rnacentral:rRNA from 1 species
CUACGGGUGGCUCCAGUAAGGAAUAUUCCACAAUGGGCGAAAGCCUGAUGGAGCGACACCGCGUGGAGGACGACACCUUUCGGGGCGUAAACUCCUUUUCUGAGUGAAUAAGUUCUGAAAUUAACUCAGGAAUAAGUGACGGCUAAUUACGUGCCAGCAGCCGCGGUAAUACGUAAGUCGCGAGCGUUAACCGGAAUUAUUGGGCGUAAAGGGUCCGUAGCCGGAAAAGAAAGUCUGAUGUUAAAACACGGUGCUCAACACCGUGAUCGUAUUAGAAACUUCUUAUCUAGAGUUAUUCAGAGGUGCGUGGAAUUUCUUGUGUAGGGGUAAAAUCCGUAGAUACAAGAAGGAACACCAAAAGCGAAGGCAGCGCACUGGGGAUAUACUGACGGUCAGGGACGAAAGCGUGGGGAGCAAAGAGGAUUAGAUACCCCCGUAGUC